GUUUUGCAGGACACAGUGAAUCCUCAGACAAAAGCUCUCCCAUGUCUGCUGGGCCUGUAUCCACGAAUGAACAAAAACAUUCAACAGGACAAAAAGUAGCUGGCAGAGGGACAUAUCACAGAAGACCAUGGACUAAGGCUGAGAGGAACGCCGUAAUGCGGCAU